GGAGACCUGUCAAGAGGAGCUUUUCUGAAAUGCAUUCCAGCUCAGGUUACUUCAGCACAGCAACGUACAUUAUCAGGAUAAAAGCUGCAAUAUCAUCACUUCCAUGAUUCCUCAAAGUUAUUCACCGUUCUGGCUUCGACAUGAAUGUUCUCAAAACCCUGAAAUCCCCCACCUACUAUCACCAUUGUAGGACCACUGUCAGCUCACAAGCUGCAGCUCUUCAAGAAGAACAAUAAUUAACACCUCCUCAGGGAGACCAGAUUCUGAGGUCACUUUUUAUUUCCUUGGUCUCUCUUUGGGCCUCUGACCAUCUGUAGCCAAUAUCUGAGAUAAUGGGAACUGCAGAUGCUGGAGAAUCCAAGAUAACAAAGUGUGAAGCUGGAUGAACACAGCAGGCCAAGCAGCAUCUCAGGAGCACAAAAGCUGACGUUUCGGGCCUAGACCCUUCAUCAGAAAAAUAUAAUUUCAGUACUGUAGCUGUAAUUCCUGUACUUGCCACAAGGUAGCAAUGUGGUAUUACAUUUGUAUCCUUCAGAA